rnacentral:rRNA from 1 species
GACGAACGCUGGCGGCGUGCCUAACACAUGCAAGUCGAGCGGGGUUGAAGCGAGAGGUAACUCGAGCUUCUACCUAGCGGCGGACGGGUGAGUAACGCGUGGGCAACCUGCCUCAAGGUUUGGGAUAACAGCCCGAAAGGGCUGCUAAUACCGGAUAUGCCUAUGGCCUCGCAUGGGGCUAUGAGCAAAGGGGAAACCCGCCUUGAGAUGGGCCCGCGUCCCAUCAGCUAGUUGGUGAGGUAACAGCUCACCAAGGCGACGACGGGUAGCCGGCCUGAGAGGGUGACCGGCCACACUGGGACUGAGACACGGCCCAGACUCCUACGGGAGGCAGCAGUGGGGAAUCUUCCGCAAUGGGCGCAAGCCUGACGGAGCAACGCCGCGUGAGUGAAGAAGGCCUCGGUUGUAAACGUACUGUCUUCUAGGAGAAAAAGUAAGAACGGUAACCGUCGAGGAGGAAGGACCCGGCCGUAACCUAACGUAGCCACGCAGCCGCGGUAACGUACGUACUACG